GCCCCUCACUUACACUGAGAAGAUAUCUGUUAAACCCGGAUUAUAUUGAGCCUAAAAUCUAGCCCACACAACCCGCCCACCCCCCAAUUUAUUAUCCUAAUAAACCAUUUUAACCUUUUAGUAUAGGCGAUUGAAAAAUUUCUAGGCGCUUCAGAUCAAGUACCGCAAGGGAAUGAUGAAAUAGAUAUGAAACAGCCCUAAAGCCAUUAACAGCAGAGAUAAACCCUCGUACCUUUUGCAUCAUGGUCUAGCCAGUCUAACCAAGCAAAAAGAAACUUUUAGUUUGUCCUCCCGAAACUAAGUGAGCUACUUCAAAACAGCCCUAUGGGGCCAACCCGUCUCUGUUGCAAAAGAGUGGGAAGAUUAUCAAGUAGAGGUGAUAAGCCUACCGAGCUUAGAGAUAGCUGGUUAUUCAGGAAAAGAGUUUGAGCUCUACCUUAAGUUUUUUAAAACUACCUUAAACUUAAGAGCUAUUCAAAUAGGGUACAGCUUAUUUGAAACAGGGUACAACCUAAAAUAUCGGGUAAGUAAAGGUAAUUUAGCCAAGUGGGCCUAAAAGCAGCCAUCUUCCAAAAAGCGUUAAAGCUUGACACCUAACCUCUAAUUUCUAAAACACCUCUAACCCUUCACUAUUACUGAAUUAUUUUAUACUUUUAUAAAAGAUAUAAUGCUAGAACUAGUAACAAGAAACUGUUUCUCCAAAAUGUAAACAUAAACCAAAAUGGACCUACCAUUGGAAAUUAACGUAAAUGAUAAAAUCAUAGUAACCCAAAACUAGAAUAACCUAUCAACGUUAACCUUACACAAGAACAUUAAAGGAAAGAUUAAAAGAAAAAGAAGGAACUCGGCAAACCCAAGCCCCGCCUGUUUACCAAAAACAUCGCCUCUUGCCAAACAUAAGAGGUCCAGCCUGCCCAGUGACAAAAUUUAACGGCCGCGGUACCCUAACCGUGCGAAGGUAGCAUAAUCACUUGUUCUUUAAAUAGGGACUUGUAUCAACGGCAUCACGAGGGCUUUACUGUCUCCUUUCUCUAAUCAGUGAAACUGAUCUUCCCGUGAAGAAGCGGGGAUAAAUCUAUUAGACGAGAAGACCCCAUGGAGCUUUAAACUUAUUAUGCACUUCUAUUACCAAACCACAAUAAAGAUGUUUGUAUAUUAGCUUUAGGCUGGGGAGACCGCGGAGUAAAAACUAACCUCCAUAACAAAAAGGCUUCGCCUUUAUCUAAAAACUACAAAUUUAAGAAUCAGUAAACUGAUGUAAAAUGACCCAAAUAUUUGAUCAAUGAACCAAGUUACCCUGGGGAUAACAGCGCAAUCUACUUCGAGAGCCCAUAUCGACAAGCAGGUUUACGACCUCGAUGUUGGAUCAGGGUAUCCCAGUGGUGCA
rnacentral:rRNA from 1 species